rnacentral:misc_RNA from 1 species
UUUCCGUAGGUGAACCUGCGGAAGGAUCAUAGUGAAUUGAAUAUGUUAGCGGACCUCUUCGGAGUCUCUAGCAUCAAAUCAUAUCCAUAACACCUGUGAACUGUAAGGCUGUCUUGAAAACGAAAGUGAUUAGAGCGCCUGCCCAUUUUAUACAAACAUUAAAGUAACAAACGUAGUCUUAUUAUAAUCUAAUAAAACUUUCAACAACGGAUCUCUUGGCUCUC